AUGAGUCCUAAUUCUCGCCUCUCACCAAUUUGUGGUGUUAGGUUGACGGGGAAGUACUGCCCAUUCUCCUUGAUUGCUUCGCCCUUCGCGUCGCGAUCAGGGCCCAUGGGUGGCUACGAGUUCGCUCGGAUGCAAAACUUUCGAAUGGUUCACGGCAUGUUGCUGUUGUUUACCCACCAAGCGUUCAUCGCUCGAUGCGUACGACGGCUGUGCCCGUCUCGGUCCCCUCUUCCAACUUGUUUGGAUGGGGCUCAUGCGGUGCCGGCGUCGCGAAGGAAUGCUACCUGG
rnacentral:misc_RNA from 1 species